AUAGCCAUGCAUGUCUAAGUACACACGAAUUAAAAGUGAAACCGCAAAAGGCUCAUUAUAUCAGUUAUGGUUCCAUAGAUCGUUAACAGUUACUUGGAUAACUGUGGUAAUUCUAGAGCUAAUACAUGCAAUUAUAAACACGGACCUUUUGGAACGUGUGCUUUUAUUAGUAUAAAACCAAGCGAUCGCAAGAUCGUUAUAAUGGUUGAACUCUAGAUAACAUGCAGAUCGUAUGGUCCCGUACCGACGACAGAUCUUUCAAAUGUCUGCCCUAUCAACUUUUGAUGGUAGUAUCUAGGACUACCAUGGUUGCAACGGGUAACGGGGAAUCAGGGUUCGAUUCCGGAGAGGGAGCCUGAGAAACGGCUACCACAUCUAAGGAAGGCAGCAGGCGCGUAAAUUACCCACUCCCAGUUCGGGGAGGUAGUGACGAAAAAUAACAAUACAGGACUCAUAUCCGAGGCCCUGUAAUUGGAAUGAGUACACUUUAAAUCCUUUAACAAGGACCUAUUGGAGGGCAAGUCUGGUGCCAGCAGCCGCGGUAAUUCCAGCUCCAAUAGCGUAUAUUAAAGUUGUUGCGGUUAAAACGUUCGUAGUUGAAUUUGUGCUUCAUACGGGUAGUACAACUAUAAUUGUGGUAUGUACAUUACCUUAUGUAUGUUAAGCGUAUUACCGGUGGAGUUCUUAUAUAUAAUUAAUACAGUGUAUUUUUUAUAUAUUCCUCCUAUUUAAAAACCUGCUUCAGUGCUCUUCAUCGAGUGUUGUUGUGGGCCGGUACAAUUACUUUGAACAAAUUAGAGUGCUUAAAGCAGGCUCCAAAUGCCUGAAUAUUUUGUGCAUGGAAUAAUGAAAUAAGACCUCUGUUCUACUUUCAUUGGUUUUUAGAUCAAGAGGUAAUGAUUAAUAGAAGCAGUUUGGGGGCAUUAGUAUUACGACGCGAGAGGUGAAAUUCUUGGACCGUCGUAAGACUAACUUAAGCGAAAGCAUUUGCCAAAGAUGUUUUCAUUAAUCAAGAACGAAAGUUAGAGGU
rnacentral:rRNA from 1 species